rnacentral:lncRNA from 1 species
AAGACGCCCUGGUUUUCCUUCUUUGUUGGGAAGGUUCUGAGCUCCACACCUUUGCUGAGGUGGAAGCAUUGUGACAGUUUGCACCCUGUUUGUGAUCCCAGGUGACCAGCACCAGAGCUUGCUGUGCUGAGGAUACACGGAGUGUGUAAUGCUUACUUGGUGCCGGCCAUGCUUGCCUUUCUAAUCCCCUUGAAGAAAGACUUUGGUAAGCAAAUAAAUAGGUGUGCAUGGUGGGGUGGGAGGAGGGGUGUUCUUCCUCUGGAGGAAACUUAUUCUCAGGGAUUUUAGAGAACAAACCAUCAUCUGCUGUCACAGAAACCUGUCUACAGUGUCUCGAGUAUCCUUUUACUAGUCCUAUGCUUGAAAGGACUCCCCACAGACCAAUCCAGGGAUAUUCCCCAUCUUUCUGCCUGUUAAGCUUUAAAUCCUGCCCCCCUGCUCCACAGGACCCACAAAUUCUAUUCAUUUUUCUCUUUUCAUAACUGCAGACCACCUCAGAAUGCAAAGCCCUUCUCUCUGUCCCAAUCCUCCCACAUGCCCACCCCUUGACAGGCCUCCCCUAAAACUGGCACAUGGGAAAAGUUUCCCCUUUAAUUCUUUUUUUUUUUUUUUUUUGGCUAAUCUCCAUGGGGGUAAAAAUAGAAGAUGAUGGAUGUGGGGAAGGGACAAAAGUUCCAGGAGUCUCCCCAGCUUUCUCCUUACCCAGGUCUCUGGACACUAAAAUGUGAACUGCAAACCCCUGGUGUUAACAAUCCUUUGCGUCCUAUCUUAUUCUCCCCUCCUGUCAUCGGGUUCCCCUAGUGUACUCCUAAUAAUAAGGACAGAGGUAUAGCAAUCUGGAUUUAAGGAGGCACUUCACAGGUUGCAAAUCACUCUCCCCAUCCAUCCCUUUGGUGAAGCUCAGACCCUCCCUGUGACUCGGGUGUUGAGUGGCCACCAUUCUGUAAAUUAGAUGAGGAAUAGGGGCUGGCAGAGUGCCUGGCAGAGACCUGUUCACAGCCCACUCCUUUUUUUUUUUUUUUCUGAAAUUGUGUUUUCACUCCAAUUUAAGAGGAAAAGCCACAUAAGCCUUCCAUCUUCCCCACCCCCCUUCACAUUGGCAACAGCUUUAGUUCUUGGCUGAUGACCAGACCCUCCCUCCCAUAGUGAUAUGGUAAGAUCAAGGCAUCUCAGACUACCUCCAGAUGACCCUGGCUGUGCCUCAAAGAUCUAGGGUUGAGCUGAGUCUGGAUCGAGAUGAAACACUGCCAUUCUCCCAGGACAGGCUUUUUAUUUCUUGCUUUGUCUUUCCAACCUCCUCCUCUACUUUCCCUCUUCCCAAGCCAUCCAAUGCACAGUCGCUUCCAGACGUCUUCAGACUCCCUUAAGUUCCCUUCUCACCUUCUAGUAAAAUUUAACUCCAGAGCGUUUAGAUCCCUCAAUGUAGAAUACUUACUCUCUACUCUUUAUUAGUAUGAAUAACAUAGGAAUUGUUUGAGAAUGUUUAUCCAUUGAAACUUUUUAUAAUGAUCCUUGAAAUGAGAUGUGAUCACAUUACAAAGAUCUCAUACUGAUGUUUGUAAUGAGAUGACUUUUUUCUCCAUAUAAAUCAGAUGUCUUCUUCUUCAGCAUGUGGAUGUCAGAUCGGGCUGAGAGGCCUUUCAGAAAAAUUGGACCUCAGUUUGCCACUGCCCUGUGAAAUGCUCACUGCACUUCUUGAGCCUCAGAGAGGAGGAUAGAGAGAGCACCCUAUAUCCACUGAUUACAUUCUUCUCAUCGAAUUCAGCCAAAAUGGCUUAAUCACCUAACAUACGUGUUAGCAGAGGAGCUCAGAGAAGGAGGGAUCGAGGAUUAUUUAAGGAUCAUUGUUGAAGCUGGAUGAGGAUCCAUGGAAGUUUAUCAGAUAAUUUGGACUACUUCUGUAAAUACUGGAAAAUGCCCUGACUAAGAAGAAUAUGAAGAAAUAGAAGGAAACUGAGCAGGCUUCACAUAGCAAGUAGCAGCUGCGCAAAACCAAAGCCUGGGUUAGGAUUUCAACGAGCUGACACUGGGUCAGGGGCCAGGCAGGGAACGUCACGAGCCAAGGCACAGAGACUGGAAAAUACGAGGUGUUCAUGAAGAAUUGGGAGUAGUCAAGUGUCGCUGUAGUACAGGGGGCGAGAGGGGGACAGGGGGAGAUGGGCUAGAAAGGUAUCCUGGGGUCAGAGCUGGGCCCUAGAGAGGCCCCAUGAGGAGCUGAGCUUAUUCAGUUCAUGGGGGAAAGUGACCUCACUGGUUAAGCUUGAGUUGGCCCUACCCCUUCAGUCAGUCUGGGUGCAGGCCCAGAAGCAGGGCAUGUGGCAGAACCUGGCAGAGGAGGAUGCUGGCAGUGCUGGCAGGCUUGUUUCUUCACCAGGAAACAAGGUUUCCUGUAACUCAGACCCAUGAAUCAGCAUUUCCUCUGUCAAUAAUACACAGCAAGAAAUGCACCAGAGCCUGGGCGAAUGGAAGAAAGGAAGGAAUAUUCCGUGACAUAGCUGGCCUCUGCUCUCCUUUCCCCUCAUGAAACACUCCUGAUAAGCUCCAAAGAGCACUCAGGUUUCAUAAGAUAAGUUUCUCAGAGGACCUCCCAGUAUCUCGCAGGGAUUAAGGCCUACAGAAUGCUGGCCUCUCUUGUAUGUUAUGUAUUUCUGUCACCAUGAGGAAAGUAGGAUCACUUUCUGAAUUCUUUCACCCUGUGAGAAUCAGACGUUAAUAACAGUGUUCCUUCCUGACAGAGAUUUGAGUGAUUUGCCUUUGAGUUUUCACACUUCCACAUCCAAUGUUUUAUUUAAUUCUCAUGAUAAUCCUGUGAGGAACACAGGGAAUAUUAUAUCCAUUUAAUAAACACAGGUUUCAAAACAGGAACUGACGAAAUGCUUCUUCCCUGUCAGAAGUAUUUCGAAGAAGCCAGAACUGACCCCAGCUCUUCAAACUGCAGUCCAGAAAUCUUUUCAAAGCUAUAGGCUUUGAAAGGCAUAGACAUUUAAUAUAUUUGUCUUCAAUAUUAACUUAUUUAAUUUAAUCAGUAAAACAAGAUAUUUAAUUUAUAGUACUCCAAUAUGUAUUAUACGUGCAUAUACCUUAUCUAGCCCCAGAAAGAAUUUUAUUCACUGUCCUAGUUCAUUCAUUCAUUUAUCAAAAAUGUAUUAACUGCCUACCAUACACCAGGCUCUGUUCUAGAUGCAUUCAGUGGUGAAUGAAACAGGUGAAAAGUCCUGCCUUCAUAUUCUCAUUGAGGAGCUCAGACAAUAAAUAGGGGGAAAGAGUAAAAUAUAGAUUGUGUUAGAGAGUUGCAUGUGCUUUAAAAAAUAGAGAAAUGGAUAAGAGUAUUGAAGGGGUGCAAUUUACAUAGGAUGUUACAGGACAACUUGAUUUAAAAUGUGACAUAUGGAGAGAGAAACUAUGUGGCUAUAAGGGACAGGGGUAGUCAGCAGAAAAAACAGCAUGGGCAAAGGCCUUGAAGUGGAACCUUCCGGCAAGUUCAAGGAACAGUAGUCAGGUAUGGCUGAAAGAGAAAAAAAUGAAGUCACCAUAUUCUCUAUUCUCUCUUUCUCCCCCUCUUCCUCUCUCUACCUCUUCCCUGUCUCUCCCUCUUUCUCUUGUCUAAGUUUUCAAUAAUGGUCCAGGAUAAAAACCUGCAAGCCAAUUGCCAUGGCCACUGGUUGCAGAAGCUAUGCAGGGAAAGGUCAGGCAGAGGAGCAACUUAGUGUCUGGGCUUGGGCCCUGGCCCCACAUCUCCAUCAAAUUCUUGUUUAGUGGGACCACAAGAACACAUCGACCUCCUCUUGCCUGGGCGAUAGGCUGAAAGCAGAACCAAUCCUUCUUGAUUCCCCUUAUUCUAGGCCUUCCCAGGGAUGCUCAUCUUUUAAUACAGCCUGCUCCUAAGCAUUAGGGUAAGAAACCCCAGGAGAAGGAGGGAAAGGAUGACAUCAAAGCUACCAUCCCUGCAAAACCUCACUCCCCAAUUCAGGGGACUGAGGGAGUGUGGGUGUGGGUGUGGGGGUGGGCAUGCACAUGCACAUGAAGGAAGAGAAAAGAAAAAGAGCCAACCUGCCUUCCCUCCGGAAUCCCGGCAUCGCCUCCCUUCUUAAUCCUUCUCUUUAUUAAUCCUAUGGGCUUAACAGGAAAGCUCAUAUCUAAUUCAUGCCCCUUCUGCCUCCAUUUUGCCUCCCUCACAUCUUGGAGAGUUUUUGAAAAUUCCUUUGUGUAGCUUCAGCAAACUUUGACACUACCACCAAUGAGAAGGCGGUUCAGUUCCUCCAAGUCUUUUAUGAAUGUCUCUUUGCUUUGCCUGCAGAAGUCACUAAACUAGAUAAGAACAGCACAGUACUCCAGGUCAUCAGUGAACACUAGGUGAAGAAGUCCCUCACCUCAUUUAUCAGAGCAAAUGAGCAAAGAAGAGAGAUACUGUCAUCCAGAGCCUAUUAACAACUCCAAUCAGCCACAGGUAUCCGGACUCAGGUGGAGGAGUAAGAGUCACUCAAACAGCUCUUGCACUUCUUUCUCUCCUCCGGGCCUUUCUCCAUCACUGCCUCAUCAGGAGCACUUAGCCAGAUCUGUCAUCACCAUCCUUGUUUGAGUCUCUUCGGAACUACUAUUUAAAUCAAAACUUCUCAUUUUGAGGUCAUUUUCAUAGAUUUAUAUGUGGUUGCAAGAAAUAAUACAAAGAGAUCCCUUGUAGCCUUUACCAAAUUUCCCCUGAUGUUAACAUCUUACAAAACUGUAAACAAUAUAUUGUCAAUAAUGUAAUCAGGAGGAGAAGAUCUCCAUCACCAGGAGCCUCCAGUGGGACCCCCUUGUGGCCACAUCCACUUAUCUCCUGUCCCUUACCCUCCUUUAUCCUGGCAACCACUAUUCUGCACUUCCUAUAAUUUUAGCAAUUCAAAAAUAUAAGUGGAAUUAUAUCAGAAAAAAAAUUGGGGGAAUUGGCUUUUUCCUAUCAAGAUAAAGUUUCAUCUAGGAUAUGUAUCAAUAGGUGGUUCCUUUUUAUUGCUGAGUACUAUUUCAUGAAUGAAAGUACCACAGUUUAUUCACCCCUUGAAGACACCUGAGUUGUUUUCAGUUUUGGGCUACUGUGAAUUUCCUGACACCAUAUGAGGCUGCUAUGAACAUUCAUAUUCUCUGG